AUGGCACCAUUGCUGGCUUCAAGAGGGAUGAGACCAUAUGAAAGGAAUUCAGGCUAUCUCUGGAGCUGAGCACAACCCCCAGGUCACAUCCAACAAAGAAACAGGGACCUCAGUCCUAUAAACACCACCAACAGAAUGAACUUGGAAGCAGAUUUUCCCCCAGAGCAUCCAGAUAAGAACUCAGUCCACUCAACAUCUUCAGCUUUGUGAUAUUCCAGGCAUAUUGUGCUGAACUUCUGACUUACAGAACUAAUCCAGAAAGCCUGGAAGAUACUUUUCCAAGAAUUUAUUUUCUGUUUAGAUUCUACCCCUGAAAGUCAGUCCUGAAAGGAUUAUAAAAGCAAGAAAGAAACAUGGACUCUAAGAAUUAACAACAGUGUGGGAAGCCACGGAGGAGAUUUAUGACUACCCUAAAUUGGUUUGUGUUUGGAUGGUGAGUGCCUGAAAAUUGCUACUGAAUAUUUUGAUGAGAAAAUGAAUUAAGAUAAAUCUUUUUAACUUUCUGCUUUUGAUUAUCUUUUUUUUCUUAUCUUAGGAUGACUAUUUCCUGCUCUUUAUUACUAGAAAUUGGCAGCAACAUCUCAGAUUGGAUAAUGGUACUGGUGGAAUAAUUACCAGAAAGAAAAAAACAUCCCCACUAAAGUGAUGAAAACAUGUACAGAUUGUCCAACCUUUUGCUUUUGUACCACUUCCCCUUCCAGAUGUCAGGGUUGUGAUUUAUUUCUCCCUAAG
rnacentral:lncRNA from 1 species